GAUGAACGCUGGCGGCGUGCCUAACACAUGCAAGUCGAACGGGAUCCCUUGGAUUCGUCUGAGGGUGAGAGUGGCGAACGGGUGAGUAACACGUAGGUGACCUGCCCCGAAGAGGGGAAUAACCACUGGAAACGGUGGCUAAUACCCCAUGGUCUCCACAGUUCGUUCUGUGGAGUAAAGUCCCCGUGAGGGGUGCGCUUCGGGAGGGACCUGCGGCCCAUCAGGUAGUUGGUAGGGUAACGGCCUACCAAGCCUAUGACGGGUAGGGGGCGUGAGAGCGUGACCCCCCACACUGGCACUGAGACACGGGCCAGACUCCUACGGGAGGCAG
rnacentral:rRNA from 1 species